CGCAAUUCAUGAUUAAAGUAACGUCAGGCUUACGAUCGAUCCCGGCCGCUUACGACCGCAUUUGACACAAUUUGACAUGAGGUUAAGUAAUUUGACAUGAGGUUAAAUAAUUUGAGAUUUGCGACUUGAAUUCACUGGGCAAGAAGAUACUGACGAAAUCUCAGAUCUGGCUGCAGUGCAACAAGUGUAAAUACACCACGCAUCAUGAUUCCUUUAUGAUGCAUCGCAUGAAAGAUCAUAACGAGGAAAGGGCAGCUGACUAACACAUCUUCGAGAGCUAGGAGGAAAGUAAAAGACAUAGUUACAACAAAGUGAAUGACUUGGAGAACAAGCAGAAUGAAACAGGAUGAUAAAGCGAUGGAGGUAACACUUUUGGAGCCGAUUCAGUCAGUUUUUCCUAUUACUCAAUUCACCCCACUACCACUGUUGGAUUUAUCAAAUUGUUAUCAAAUCAUCUAUAUGCUUCCGCUACAUUACCAGCGA
rnacentral:lncRNA from 13 species